UCCCAAGUGGUCUUACCAACACUGUGACCUGGACUGAGGAAAAGUUAUGAGCUCAAUCUUUGAUUUUGGGCAAGAGGAGCUAAUACCUGCAGGCCUGGGCUUCCGGCAUGAGUGACAAGAUCAGGACUUUGCCUCAAUGACAGGAAGCUGUCAGUCGUGGUGUUUCAGGAUAUACUUCAAGAACAGAACACUGAGGAUAUAUAUCAACAACACUCGCUUGCUCGCUCACCAUCAGGCAACUGUAAAGAUGAAUCACACUUCAGAAGGUGCCUGUCCUUCUCAGAGUCCACUGUGGCUUCCCAAAAGUCUCAGUGCCACUGUGCUCCACAGCUAGAGAGUAGGGAGAGGUCACAGUCUGGACACCAAAGCAAUACAGGACAUCCUUUUUCUCAAGAAUAGUCAUGCACUUUGGGGAGUGACAAGGACAGACACUGAGUAUAGCAAAGGUAAAGAGAGGAAGAGGAGCUGGCGUGGCAUUCAUCACAGCUGUGUGUUUCUAAGGUCUUUUUUGAGGUUGUUGGAAAUCCAGGGGAGGAAUGACAUAUAGAACAUGAAGAGCUGCACAGGGCAGCCCAGAUGACAGCAAACUGACAUUUCCUAUCCAUGUGAAAGCACAAGUUAAACUCAUUUACAAGGGUCACUCCACUCCUUUUCAAACCAAUUUGGGCACCACAUCAAGGACUCCGGCUUCUCAGCUGGCUUAUUAGCAUUCCAGAAAAGAAUGUCAGUCAAACGCUGAGCAGGAGUCUUUGUCUUCACACUUCUCUUCUUCAUAUCCUUUUGGUGAAAAUGAGCUUAAGCCCUUGAAACCAAGGCCCCUUUCAACAACAAUACGACAAAAGAGCCCAUUUAGAGUAUGCUUCCAAAUGUGGAUUCUUCAGACAUUACAGUACAAAGUAGGGAAGUUACACAGACAAUAAUGGGCACCCAUGACCUUCGUUCAUUCACGGGACAAAUACUCAGGAAGCAGAGCAUCCAUGGGAAGCUGGGCACUGAGCCAGGCACGAGAACAGAGCCGUGGAAAGCAGACCUGACACUGUGGAUCUUCAUUCAAGGCUAGGAUGUUGACAGCAGUAAGCAGAUAUGCACAGGGGAUGGCAGUGGAUUUGCAGAUAGAGAAGAUAAAAUUUACAGUGUUUGUGAUCAGGCCUGGAAAGGUGGCAAAGAUAUGGCUCAGAGCAUCUACAGGCCCAGUAAAAAUCUGGCCAGGGACAUGUAUGGUGAUGACCUCAAAACCAG
rnacentral:lncRNA from 1 species